AUUCUAGUCUUUGUUGAAAGUACAACAAGCAACGACAUGUAACAAUUUCCUGCCGUUUAGUUUAAGCGAAAUAUUCUAUUUGUAGUGUCUGCUUUGGUAAUCAAAUUAGUAUCGCUGGUUUAAUUUUGAAAAUUACAUGAAGCGUAAUGAACUCCGUGUGAUUGAAAUGUGUUUAGACGGUAUGAGUGGAGUUACAUGAACAGUGCAACCACAGCUUCGCGAACCAACUACAUCAAUAAUACCCCUUCAACGGUGUGACGGACUAAAUUGAAGAUGGCGAUAUGUAAUGGUGCACACUACAGUGUACAACUCGUGGUGUUCCUGACAGUGUGGUUCUUAGCAUCAACGUUUUCAGUAGGAGGAGUGAAUGCUUGUCCAGAAAUUGAUGCAUUACCGAUCUUUGAUAAAAACGGAAGUGGUCGGCCGUGUGAGGGAGGAUUUCUUGUCAAAAUGAUAACCGUGCUGUGUAUGUGGUUCCUUUACAGGGUCUGGUAUGACUAACACCACACUUCAAUGGCGACCUCCUGUAACGGGCAACUCCAAAUAAUGGAAGGGACCAAGGAAUUUAUCAAGUGAACAUUUUCCAGAUAGGAAAUUAUAAAACAAAUCUACAUAUUGUGUGAAUAUCAUAUCAUCAUAUCUGUUUGUUUAUCAAUCAGACGUUUCAUUCUGUUUUGCUAGACUUUCAUCUCUAAACUACCUUGGUGAACAUCAAAGUUUGAAAUAGAUAUACGUUUUGAC